UACGGGGGGGGCAAGCGUUGUUCGGAAUUACUGGGCGUAAAGGGCUCGUAGGUGGCCAACUAAGUCAGACGUGAAAUCCCUCAGCUUAACUGGGGAACUGCGUCUGAUACUGGAUGGCUUGAGUUUGGGAGAGGGAUGCGGAAUUCCAGGUGUAGCGGUGAAAUGCGUAGAUAUCUGGAGGAACACCGGUGGCGAAGGCGGCAUCCUGGACCACGACUGACGCUGAGGAGCGAAAGCCAGGGGAGCAAACGGG
rnacentral:rRNA from 1 species